AAAGGAAUUAAACCCUGAGGAAGGGGAAAUGGUGGAAGAAAAAUACCAGAAAGCAGAAAACAUGUAUGCCCAAAUAAAGGAGGAGGUGCGCCAGCGAGCCCUGGCUCUGGAUGAGGCCGUGUCCCAGUCCACACAGAUUACAGAGAAAUCCAGGAUAAAUUGGAUCAAAUGGUAUUCUUCUGGGAGGACAUCAAAGCUCGGGCUGAAGAGCGAGAAAUCAAAUUUCUUGAUGUCCUUGAAUUAGCAGAGAAGUUCUGGUAUGACAUGGCAGCUCUCCUGACCACCAUCAAAGACACCCAGGAUAUUGUCCAUGACUUGGAAAGCCCAGGCAUUGAUCCUUCCAUCAUCAAACAACAGGUUGAAGCUGCUGAGACUAUUAAGGAAGAGACAGAUGGUCUGCAUGAAGAGCUGGAGUUUAUUCGGAUCCUUGGAGCAGAUUUGAUUUUUGCCUGUGGAGAAACUGAGAAGCCUGAAGUGAGGAAGAGCAUUGAUGAGAUGAAUAAUGCUUGGGAGAACUUAAACAAAACAUGGAAAGAGAGGCUAGAAAAACUUGAGGAUGCUAUGCAAGCUGCUGUGCAGUAUCAGGACACUCUUCAGGCUAUGUUUGACUGGCUGGAUAACACUGUGAUUAAACUCUGCACCAUGCCCCCUGUUGGCACUGACCUCAAUACUGUUAAAGAUCAGUUAAAUGAAAUGAAGGAGUUCAAAGUAGAAGUUUACCAACAGCAAAUUGAGAUGGAGAAGCUUAAUCACCAGGGUGAACUGAUGUUAAAGAAAGCUACUGAUGAGACGGACAGAGACAUUAUACGAGAACCACUGACAGAACUCAAACACCUGUGGGA
rnacentral:sRNA from 1 species